GUUUGGCGUUGCAGCUGUGUGGGCGCUGGUGCGUGCGAGUAGCGCUCGAAGAAACCCAAAGGCGUCGUGGGGCUGCCGUGUGCCCCAGAGAGCACUGCAGGCCGGGUAGGGGCUAAGGCUCCCCGCAGUCUUCUGUGUGUCGUCCAGUACGCAGUUGAAAUCGUUCUCCAACCUGGCCAGUCCUCCGAGGCCCUUCUCAGGCGACCAGACUCUGUUAACAGAGUCCAUUGCUAAAACUCCUCGUUAGUAUUUACCACUCCUCCAGUCUGUGUUUUGAAGCAGUGGUUUUCAACCACUGCCCGUUUUCAGAAGAAAUCAUCUCAAGCGUCCGUGUGCUGCUAGAAGCCGGGCCGGGAGGUCUUGGUGCCGGACUCCACCCUGCAGCCCUUCCCUUUCGCCACCGCCCUGUGCUUAGAGAAACCUUAGAGUGGAGCAAUGAGUCGCCCUUGACUGAGUAACUCUUCGGGGUCAACUUCUCCUUCCACGCCAAGGAAAGGAUUCCAGGGCGAUGUUUCUGGAAAUAGAGAUCUGACCAAGCCACUGCUCUGGUGAAAAUUCAGUGGGUCCCUAGCACCUAGUGCAGCGGCUCCUAGCCUGAGUAUUGCCGUCUUUCGGUGGGGAGGGGUUGGGUUUUUUUGUAGCAUCUGUUGAUCUGAUCUCCAACAUCCUCCACGUCAAUUCCCACUCCACCCACAUCCCUUAUCCUAUACGUAAGCUUUCCAGCCACGGUGCUGGCUUGGGUGGGGGUGCGUGCGGUGCUGACACCAAAAUGGAGGUCCCGUGUUUCUGAGAGUCUCUUUCAGAGCAAUGCAAACCUGAAACUACUCCUGCCAAGAAACGAUUGCAGCUCUUCCCGGAAAAGUUAAAGCCUUUGAGAAACAAAGCUGAGGUUGAAAGUAUUAGUCCAUUUUAUAGAUGAAGAAAUGGAGGCCCAGAGAGAUCACGUGACUUAGCCAAGUCCACCAAUAAGAAGGAGAACUAAGAAAGAGACUGAAGCAUGGUCUGUGGAGAAGGCACUUGUGCAAACACCAGGAGAAUGAGGGGCCUGAGUUGUCUUCGUUUCUCCUAAAAGCAUGCAUUCCCGGCUGGGCGCGGUGACUCAUGCGUGUAAUCCCGCCACUUUAGAAGGCUGAGGCAGGCGGAUCACCUGAGAUCGGGAGUUCGAGACCAGCCCGACCAACAUGGAGAAACCCCAUCUCUAUUAAAAAUACAAAAUUACCCAGGCAUGGUGGCACAUGCCUGUAAUCCCAGCUACUUGGGAGGCGAAGGCAGGAGAAUUGCUUGAACCCAGAAGGCGGAAGCUGCAGAGAGCCGAGAUUUCGCCAUUGUACUCCAGCCUGGGCAACAAGAGUGAAACUCCAUCUCAAAAAACAAACAAACAAACACACAAACAAACAAACAAACACAUUCCCUCCCAGGCCACCCAAGUGAGGGCAUGAAGCACAGCGUGUGUGUGUGUGUGUGUGUGUGUGUGUGCACGCGUGUGUGCAUAUGUGUGUUUGUGUGUUGCAGGGGUUACAGUGGACAGGAUGUGGGAGGGCAGCUGCAGCUCCAAGCUGCAAGUCUUUCUGAUAGAAUGCUUAAAACUCCUUGGACCACAGCAAGAGAGUGUUUUCAUUUGCACCCAUUUUUAUUAGCGUUUGAACCUGUACUUUUUGUAGCAUGUAAACCUUAAGCUGCUUAACUAUUCCUUGAAGCAUUUACACCAGCGGUUCCCAACCUUUUUGCUACCUGAGACCAGUUUUCUUGAAGACAAUUCUUCCACGGACCCGGGAGAAGGGGAAGGGAUGAUGUGGAGAUGAUUCAAGCCCAUUACAUUUAUUGUGUGCUUCAUUUCUAUUAUUUCACUGUAAUAUAUAAUGAAAUAAUUAC
rnacentral:lncRNA from 1 species